rnacentral:lncRNA from 1 species
AGUAAAAUGAAGAACCAAAAGACAAAAGCUCAAUAAAACUAUAACUAAGACCUAGUUUACAGCCUUACACUCCCUCUCCCUCACUCUCUCUCUCUCUUGAUCCCUCCGUCCCUCAUCCCUUUCCAUGCGGCGACGGCCUGGCACGACGCAGCCCAUCGCUGGGCACCCCGUUGCCGUCACACCAUCUCCGACGGUUAGUCCUUCUCUUUCUUUUUGUCUGUGCAUGGUUCCUCGGGGGCAUCGAGGACCCGUUUAGGUUUAGGGAUCCGCUGGGGUUGGGGCUAGGAUGAAAUUUGGGGUCAGGGCUAGGGCCGUUCUUGCCAAACCUGGCCCUAAUCCGCCCCAUUGCUGACCCUACUCUCGCGGUCUCUAUCUUUCUAAAUUCUCAUGUUGCUCCUCUAAACCUUCCGUGCUCCUGUCUCUCUAAGAAUUCUCCUCUCUCUCAUUCCCGUGCAGAUUUGGGGGGCAGACGGAGCAGAUCCAAAAGGCAGCAGUGGUUCUAUCGUUGCGGUUCGUUGUUGGUUGAUUUUGUUGAUUAUAUGUUAAUCAGUGAUAACAUGGUUUGAUCUAUAAACCUGUGAACUCAAUUCGGGAUUCUGAUUAUUCAUUCUUGUAUAAAUUAUUGACUGACUAUGUGAUUAUGUAUUGAUAUAUGAACCUAUGAACCCGAUUCCAUAUUCUUUUAUUGAUAUGUGAUACGUCCGAAGGCAGCUCUAAAAAUAUGUGAACUUUUGAUCUUGAUUCCAUGAUUUUGU